UGGGGAAUAUUGCACAAUGGGCGCAAGCCUGAUGCAGCCAUGCCGCGUGUAUGAAGAAGGCCUUCGGGUUGUAAAGUACUUUCAGCGAGGAGGAAGGCGUUGUGGUUAAUAACCGCAACGAUUGACGUUACUCGCAGAAGAAGCACCGGCUAACUCCGUGCCAGCAGCCGCGGUAAUACGGAGGGUGCAAGCGUUAAUCGAUAUCUGGGCGUAAAGCGCACGCAGGCGGUCUGUCAAGUCGGAUGUGAAAUCCCCGGGCUCAACCUGGGAACUGCAUCCGAAACUGGCAGGCUAGAGUCUUGUAGAGGGGGUAGAAUUCCAGGUGUAGCGGUGAAAUUGCGUAGAGAUCUGGAGGAAUACCGGUGGCGAAGGCGGCCCCCUGACAAAGACUGACGCUCAGGUGCGAAAGCGUGGGAGCAAAACA
rnacentral:rRNA from 1 species